UACGUAGGGUGCAAGCGUUAAUCGGAAUUACUGGGCGUAAAGCGUGCGCAGGCGGUUGUGCAAGACAGAGGUGAAAUCCCGGGCUUAACCUGGGAAUGGCCUUUGUGACUGCACGGCUAGAGUGUGUCAGAGGGGGGUAGAAUUCCACGUGUAGCAGUGAAAUGCGUAGAGAUGUGGAGGAAUACCGAUGGCGAAGGCAGCCCCCUGGGAUAACACUGACGCUCAGGCACGAAAGCGUGGGGAGCAAACAGG
rnacentral:rRNA from 1 species